GGGGCUAUGGCGCAGUUGGUAGCGCGCUUCCUUCGCAUGGAAGAGGUCAGGGGUUCGACUCCCCUUAGCUCCA
rnacentral:tRNA from 1 species